AUUGAACGCUGGCGGCAGGCCUAACACAUGCAAGUCGAACGAGUGGCGGACGGGUGAGUAAUGUCUGGGACACGGCCUGAUGGAGGGGGAUAACUACUGAAAACGUUACCUAAUACCGCAUACCAUCAGUUGUGCCCAGACGGGAUUGGCUAGGUUGUGGGGUAAAGGCCUACCAAGGCGACGGUCCGUAACUGGUCUGAGAGGAUGAUCAGCAAUACUGGAACUGAGACACGGUCCAGCCUCCGAGGGUAGGCAGAAGUGGGGAAUAUGGGACAAGGGCGGAAAGCCUGACCCAGCAAUGCCGCGUAGGUGAAAAAGGUCUUCGGAUGGUAAAGCCCUUUAAGUUGGUAGGCGGUAACAAAACAAAAAGCACCGGCUAACUUCGUGCCAGCAGCCGCGGUAAUAC
rnacentral:rRNA from 1 species